UCGUUACAGGCAGGUGCGGGGGGGAGGCGUGUGCGCGCCGCUUUAUGGGGGACCAGUCCCGCAAGCAAGACAAAGAAACUUCGGCUCCUAGCACCCUGCCCGGAGAAAGGGAGACUUCUUUCCCCCCUCCUCCGCCCCCCGGGGCUGGCUGGGGCUGUGGAAGUGUAAAGAUGCUCCUUCAGCUGCCUAACUCUCUGUUGCCCCCACGCACCCACUCCACCCGUGCGGGGCUUCCGGGAGAGUCCAGCUGCAAUCCCAUAAAGUAGCAAUCGGGGGGCUGUGGUGGGCGUACGACUGCCCUGCCUGCUUCCCCAGUAAAGGAGCGAGGGUGGGACCCGGCCCUCCAGCGAAGCGUAACGGCUUUUUCUCAAAACAGCCCCGCGAAUUGAAAGUUGAAAAUUAAAUUCCAAUAAAGCUUUUGCCUAAUUUAACUUAACCGAGGUUUCUGUCGCCCUGGCAGGCUACCUGCCUGCCUCGAUUUGAUGGCGUUAAGCUAGGCUUUUUUUACACAAGUACAAUUCCAUCAAUAGUUUUCUGCACAGCUGGAUUUCCUCUGGGUGCAGAUGUUGCUAAUGGCAGCUUAAGCACGGAUGGGCAGAUAACAUAUGGAAUGCAACAUGUUGCCAUAUGGUCCGUUUAGCCUUUCACCUCCAAGAAUAUCAAUCAAAUAUGUUCUGGGAGAAAUUUAAUGACUCUCUGAACAGGAAGAUGAAUUGCUUGGUACGAUUUAUAUUCCUUGACCUGAUGCUAUAUAACAAUAAGACGGUAAAUGGAACUCACCGUUUUUAUAAUAAGAAUGUGACCAAAUGGGGCUAGAUUUCAAAUACUAUAAACAUUUGCAUGUUAGGAUCUUGACAGCUGUCAAAUUAUUCAGACAGUGAAGCGUGCCCCAAUAAAAGCAUGUCCACAAUAAAAAUGGACAACUAUAGCUUCAACCGUCUUCAGUAAAAUUGCCUACAUGUAUCUCUGGAAACAUCUGACAGUAUAAAACAUUAUUAUUUAUAAACACUCCAAUAUCCAAAACUAUCCACACUUGAACAGCAUGAACCAGGAAUGAAGAAAAAGGGAGAGGUACUAUGGAACUAAGUAUUAGGAUUCUCCAAAAAACUAGGAAGAUAGAUCCUGAUAAAUUUGUUGCCUCUCAGUAAUUUCAAACCGGUUUACAUCAGGGACCACAUUUGUUUAUCUUUUUAUGACCUAAAGUUUUUGACUUCAGUAUGAUUGAUUAAAAUUUUUUGGCAGAAAUUACACUUGCAUAAAAAUAAAGUCGCUAACUAUUCUAACCGAAACAGGUAUGUAUACCCUUUCAUUGUUGAUCUUAUACUUUGAUGUAAAACACUUAGGUCCCAAUCCAACGCCCAAAAAAUCAAUGGAAAGCUUCCCAUUGUCUCCCAAGGCUGUUGGAUUGGUCCCUUAGAGAACUGACAAAGCCUCUAGUAUUCUAUUUUUAGUGUCAGAGGUAGUGUUUUGAAGUGUGAGCAGAUUCUAAAGGACCUGCCAACCUGAACCUCUAGGGUGUUUAUUUUUUUACAUUUGCGCUCACUCUGAGUUAAUUUUGCAAAGGCACUUUUAAUAACUAAUGGAUUGUAUUCUUUCCCUCUGAUAUUUCAUUCAAGAUGGAAAGAAAAUUAAUAUAAUAAAAGCAGGAAAGAGAGAUUUAAAAUCCAUCAUAUAACCAUUUUGAGUCUGUCACUGAUAUUUUUAAACCUUAAAUUAAAUUACUUAUACACAGGUAAUCAAUAUAGAUUGCAAGCUCCUUGGGGCAGGGACUGUCUCUUUGCUAUAUGUUUGUACAAUGCUUAGAACUAUGGGGCUCUGCCUCUAGGUGGUAUUGUAAGACUAAUAAUAAAUAUCACUGUAUAUCCCUCUAUUUUGGGAUAAACCUGAUAAAUUAUUAAAAACGGUUGGUCAGCUAAUAGAAAAUGAGGUUUCAUGCUCCCCAAAAUAUAUAUACCAUAAACAGGAUAUGUGAGCAUGUUUUAAUUAAUAUACCAUAUGUUUGGAGGUAUGUAUGUAUCAUGUACAAAAAUCCUGUUUUUACAGGAAGUUAUUUCCUUUUCCAAACUCUCUCUCAGUAUACUGGCACCAUUCUUUUUCCAUUGGCUGCAGAAAGAGCAGAAUUGAGCCCCUAUUCCUAGUACAUAAUUACAGGAGCCUUUCCAUCUAAAUAUGUGAAGGCAAAGUUUGAGUUGUCCACAUAUGAAGUAACUUAUGUUAGGCACAAUGAGUUAUUGCCAUUUUGCCAACAAGUAUAAAAAAUGCUGUAGAGCCAAGACUCUAUCAUACUACAUACAAUAAUUUGUUUGACUUUAAAAAAAAUUUUGAUCAGAAUAUGGUUAGAAAAACUGGUAUUCUGUUAAUGCUUCUUGUAUUUAACAGGAUUUCCAAUGGAUGAAUAUUGUGGCAAGUGUCACUGUGUUGUGAUAUACAACUACUGUUCUCAUAACAUAGAGAACUAAUACUUUUCACUCCAGUGUGUUUGAUCCAUGCAUGAUCUUCCUACUUAUUGUGCCUGAUUGAGAACUUUAAAAACAAACAAAUAAAACUGCACAGAAUUAUAAAGAUCCCUUCAAGGGGACCUACAUUCUAUGAGUCUCUAUAAUUUUGUUUUGUACUCAUUUUCACUUUUAAAAAAUGCAAACCUGUUCUACAGGCAUUAGUUCUGUUUUUUGUUCUCUAUGAACUGAUUCUGUUCAUGCAUGUCCCACUCCCACAUAUGACUUGUGUUGAAUUACUGUCUUAAAGUCCUAGGUAACAUCCAUUAUAAUUUUAACUUCAUCCUGUAGUCCUAAAGGUGCUCAUUAAAGUCAGUGGGGAGCUUUGGCUGAGUAAGGACUAUGGAGUCCAGGUCUAAGAAGUGGCUGAUUGCCAAAAUUAGCCCUAUAGAAGGAUUGAACUGCAUUUGAACCUGUCACCAUUAUUCUAAUGAUCUGGGGAGGGAAUCACAUUAUUAGUGAUUGGUAAAACAUUGGAUUUUAAAGUAUUUGUUUAGAUAUGGGUCUUCAAUGCCAAAAAGGGAUCAUUAUUCACAUUCUUAUCUCUUAAAUUGCCAACUGACUGGAACAUUGAUUGCAUAAUGGUGCACAUACUUCAUCUGUGGCAGGAAAGGAGAGGAAAUUUGAAAAAAUUCAAACAUCACAUAUUGUGGAUCCUAAAUGCAUUAGUUUCCUCAUAGUGUAAUUCUGAUUGCGUUACAACCACAGCUGUUUAUCGUUCACUCUGAUGUAUUAAAAUAUUUUGCACUUUUGCUUCUCAUUUUGAUGUAAGAGCUAUAGCAAUAUAUGACAAACUUUAGAGAGAGUCAACAUUAUGCUGCUCGCCCCCCAUGUGAAAGUGUGCCUCUGAUUUGUAUAAUAGUACUACAGUACUUCUUUGGUGGACAGAUUGUCUCCCAUCUUUCAUUUUAAAUAGUCACUUUUUAUUACUAAAGUGACCAGUACAUCUCUUCUAAAAUGGUUCAGUCUAUUAAGUUACAAACAUGUAGACAAUAUCACAUUGAUAUGCAGUUUUUAGUUUAUCCCUUUUAGUGGGACUAUCAUGUAAAUAUAUAAUGUAAAAGUGCACUUCCUAUUUAAUACUUUUUCAGAUUGAUAGUUUUAAUUAAAUGUGUUCUUGUAUUUAGAUACCAAAAUACAGCAUUUCACUACAUUUUAUAAAAUUGUGUUUUUGCAUUUAUUUAAUGUAAGGUUCUUUUUUAAAGCAUGUAGUCUUGAAUGUUUGUUCUCCCUUUUUUUCACAUCAUUACUCUGAUACUGCUUGAUUAGCUCCCUCCCCAGUCAUGAUUGGUAAUUAAAAUAGGCAUUAAAAUUAGUCACUUAGCAAUUUUGCUGUUCAAUUGGCAAUUAAAUUACUUAAUUGCAAUUAAAGUCCUAAUUUUAAUUGGCAAAAUGAUAGAUGUAGAUUUAAGAUAAUAUGUAUAAAUACUUUAAUAAGUGUCUAUAUAAGGAUUACUUAAUUACUCAACUUCAAGUUUAUGCUGUUAACUUUAGAACUUUUAAGUGAGCAAUGAAAUUUAUAUUACAUCUAUUCUAAGGAUAUGGUAAUUAGAUGUAUUACUUAUCAUGAUAAGGGUCUUUGCUAUAAGUUAUUUCUCUUAAAACUGUGGUGUGAGCUAACCAUUGAAAUAUACACUAUUCAUCAUCUUACGAACUAGUCAUACUUUUAGUUUUGUGAUUCAAUGUGACUUUCAUUCAAAUGGUAGAUUGGCCUACUGAAGUAGUCUAAGGUUAUUUUGCUGAACAUAAGUGAGAUUGAACUACAGUAAACUGGUCAUAAUUUCAGAAAAGAAAAUUGCAUGCAAAUUGCCAAAGAUCUGGAUCAUACAUAUUACAGAAAUAUCAGCUUACCUUAUUCUUAAACUAUAUCAGUGGAAAAGUAUGAAAUAAACUGAUUUGUGUGGGUUUUUUUUUUUAAAUAUACAGACUUAAUUGCAACAGAAAACUCAAUUUGAAGACACUCAGCAAUUCUCAGAAGUUGCAUUCUCGCAAGAAUCCAAUAUAUGGGACAAAUGUUUAUUAUGAAACUACUGCCAAUGUCUAGCUACCUCUCUUUGCUCUUAAGUCCAAGGAAGUGUAGUGCAUCACUACACUGUUUAAAGUGGUUGUUAUGUUGCCUUUUAAAAUAGAUUUCUAAAGUGGUCUUAAUGAAAAGGUAGUGCUCUUAUUUUCACUCUAUGUAACUUUAUUCUGUAAAUUAAGUUUUUGCUUUUUCAGAAUUCUGUUUCGGUCAUUGAUCCCACUGAAGUCAUUGGAAGUCUUACUGUUGACAUCAGUAGGGUGAUGCAUAUACAAUGUUUCAUAUGUUUUUGAGAUGAGGAAAAUACUUAUUUCAUGCAAGCCUUUAUUAACCAUUUAAUUAAAAGUUCCCUGGUUCAGGUUUAAUUUCUAAAUUGUGCUGUAUUUUAAAUGUGUAUAUACAGAUUAUGUGUAAUAUAUACAAUAAAAUAUUAUAAUUGAGUUCC